rnacentral:lncRNA from 1 species
CCCGGAAUAUCAGUCAGAGAGACUGCACAAAAGGAACCAUACCCGGUUCCAUAUUCGCCCCGGUCAAGGAUAGGGACGACGUGGAAACCGUUACGGACAAGAACGGACCACUGACGCCAAGAACCAUCAAUCUCCCGAUAGAAAGAUGGGGCGUGCUUCUCUUCAAGGGGAGAAGGAAAAGGGUAUUUGUCCCUCGUCUCGGAAGGGUAACCCUUAGGGGAACUCUCAAGGACAUGAAUAUUUUGACUACAGACUUCGGGAGGAAGUUGAGCAGAACUGCCUG